GAAUUUACAAGUGAUAUGGAUGUCGAAAUUUUCAUUUCGCUUCUUCGGCAACGAUCUGUGCUGCGGAACAAAUUCGGUGAUACAAGUUGCUGCACGAAGAUUCGCUACUGAACGAGUUCGAUGAUGUCAAACAAAUUUCCAACUGGUUAAUCAAGGGGCAUGUUUUGAGUGAGCUUAUCGAGACUUUAUGAGGUGUUUAGUUUGUGACGAUUUGACCUGACUCGAGACGCGAUCGACUACGAGGUGGACGUGGCUCGGCUCGAGGAUCUCAAGCCCUAAAUGUCCGAUCUGUGAUCGGUGAUCGAGAUGUUUCCCUGUCCGACGCCGAAGCAUCGGUUCUGUCAGAGCGAAAUCACCCAAUAUAUCUGAGUCGGACAUUCUUUGCCCAAGAUCCGCGUAUAAAUAGCUGUGCGUAGAUUCACGCUCGAGUAGCUACUCCUGCCCCAGGAGUACGUGCUCGAUAAAUUGCGGUAUAUGCUGAGCACGUUUCUGGGCGAGGACCUGCGUAAACAGCAAUGAGAUAGAGUUCGAAGGAAAAUUAUGACGUUAUUUUUAUCAUAAAGAUUGUCAGUGCAAUGGUGAAAUAAAGAAAAAACACAAAAAUAUGGGCACACAAUACAUAUAAAUAACUUCAUCGAGCUGAUUGUGAAGACAGUUCGACCUGACCCGGAACACGAUCGACGAUGAGGUGGCCGCAACUCGGCUCGAAGAACUCCAACCCAAACUGUCCGAUCUGUGCUCGGUGAUCAAGAUGUCCCGGCGCUGAAGUAUCGGUUCUGUUAGAACUAAAUCACCCAGCUGUUGGCAUAUAUAUGAUUUGGCCAUUCUUCGCCCACGAUCCGAUGUGCGUUGAUGCGAAAUGUGCUCCAGAAGCUGUCCCUGCCCCAGUUGAACGUGUUCCAGGAAUUGCGACACAUGUUCAGCGUGUUUCUGGACGAAGAUCUGCGGAAGCAACAAUGAGAUAGUGUUUGAAGGGAAAUUAUGUUUUUUCAAUUAAUUUAUUUGUAAGGCUCAAUCGCGUGUGAAAUAAAUUAUGCUAUUUGUGUAUGUUUGAAAAUAAAAUAAUUUAGCGUAGUACACCGCAA